rnacentral:lncRNA from 1 species
CUGCUGGAAUUUGGUUUUCGGACCCAAUGUACGGAAGCAUUUUAAAGUCAGUCUAAUGUUAUAGCUACAAGUCCGAGUAUGUACAAUUUUUUGCUAAUAAUGCCAGCUACUUUGGUUUUAUGACCCAUUAUAUGCUUGUUUUAAAACCUAAGCAUUUCAAAAUCAGUCCAAUUGUAUAGCUACAAGACCCAAUACCUAACAAAUUUCUGAUGAUAAUAUUCUGCUGAUAUUUUGGUCUUAUGACGCAUUCUAUGGUUGUUGUAAUACGGAAGCGUUUUUAAGUCAUUCUAAUGUUAUAGGUCCAAGUUCGUACAAAUUUCUGCUGAUAUUUUGGUUUUAUGACCCAUUCUAUACUUGUUUUAAUACGGAGCAUUUUUAAGUUAGUCCAAUUUUAUAGUUACAGGUCCCAGUACGUAUAAUUUGCUGUUGAUAAUAUUCUGCUGAUGUUUAGGUUGAAGUGUCCCAAUGUAUGCUUGUUCUUAUACGGAAGCAUUUUGACAGUCCUAAUGUUUUAGCUACAAGUCUCAGUACGUACAAAUUUCUAUAACAAAAAGGUCACUCGAGGAUCUCUAUAUGACCUUAUUUAUAUAAGUUACUAGAUGACUUUCAUUGAGGAAAUUUGUGUGUCUUGUGUAUUUAUAUAAGUUUUCCUGUCUAGAGAUAUCACCACAAAAAUACAGUAAAUAA